rnacentral:sRNA from 1 species
UUAAGAGUACUGGCUCCUCUUCCAGAGGACCUAGAUUUGGAACACCAGCAUGGUGGCCUGCAAUAGAAGUAUUGUGAGUUGGUGCUGAGACGACAGCAAAUCACAGGAGGAGGUGACAAUGCAGCAGGAUCCUAAGCCUAGCUCCUCUGAGCAAGAGGUCCUCAUCGGUCCUUACAGGAUCCUCAAGACCCUUGGCACAGGCAACUUUGCUCAGGUCAAACUGGCUGUGCACCUCCACACAAAGAUGCAGGUUGCUCUGAAGACCCUGGAAAAGGACAAAAAGAACGCUACUCUGAUUUCCACAGAGCUAGAAAUAAUGAAAUUAGUAGACCACCCUAAUAUAACCAAAUUGUUCCAUGUCAUGGAAACCAGUGAGCAUGUCUGCAUGGUUAUGGAAUACGCUCCUGGUGGUGAUCUGGCUGGUCGCAUCAUAGAGGUGAGCUACAUUCAGGAAGAGGAGGCCCGACACAUCUUCACACAGAUAGUUUGUGCAGUUAAUUACUGCCACAAGAAUGGCAUUGCACACAGGGACAUCAAGCCAGAAAACAUUCUGAUGGAUGCUAGAAGAAACAUCAAACUGUGUGACUUUGGCCUGGCCAUCAAGGUUAACACUGAGCAGAAGUCAACAGUGUUCUGUGGCACCCUUCCAUACUGUGCACCAGAACUUUUCAGCAUCCAAAGCUAUGAUCCCAGGGCCCUUGAUAUCUGGAGCAUGGGGGUGGUACUAUACAUCAUGGUGACGAAGCAUUACCCGUUCAAAGCAACGACAUAUGACAAGAUGAGGGAGGAGAUGCGGGACCCACACUACUAUAUCCCGCCAAAGCUCCCAGCACACAUUGCCAACCUCAUCAUGCAGUUGUUCACUAUUGAUCCUUUGCAGAGGCCCAAGAUAGGUGACGUUGCGAAACAUCAGUGGCUGCAGGGCAGCGAGGAGCUUUCAAAAAUCACCCUACCCCAAGAGACACUCAGCAGCAAGCCCAGCCCCAGUAUUAUGGCAAUUAUGGGGGCCAUGGGCUACAACCCCAAGGACAUUACAGACUCUUUAUAUAAAAAAAAAUUUAAUAGCAUCAUGGCAACUUACUUAAUUUUAAAACACCAGUCACCCUACAGGGACAGCGCUAACCGCAAGUUUAAACUCAUUCAGCCUCGUAGUGCCACGAUACCCACAGAUCCUCCCACUGUCCAUGUCUUCCUAAAGAACAUCGGGACUGAGCCUGACAAUUCCACCUCUGCUCCAACAGCAAAAGACAAGCCCUACAACAACGCCAAGCUUGUAAGAAAGGACAGCAAGAAUCCCAGGAUAACUGAUGCUAUGGGCCGCCAGAAGACUCGUGUCCCUCCUGAAACAGCUGCCCAGUGUGGGCCUGUGCAGCGUCACCAGGAGCCUCUCUUGAAAAGCAGCUUGCUGAAGAGAAACGUGGCUUCCAGUGCUGUAUCCUCUUUUCCUGUGCAGUAUGACCGUGAUCAGUUCUUGAACAGUAGCUUGCAGAAGAGAGGGGUGGUUUCUAAGGCCGUGUCCUGUGGUCCUGUGCAGUAUGUGCAGAGGAGAAACAUGAUGUCCAAGGCUGUGUCCUGUGGUCCUGUGGAGUAUGAAGAUGAGCAUCCCCCGAGCCACAGCUCACAGAAAAGAGGGGUGGUUUCUAAGGCCGUGUCCUGUGGUCCUGUCGAGUAUGAAGAUGAGCAUCCCCUGAGCCACAGCUUGCAGAAGAGAGGGGUGGUUUCUAAGGCUGUGUCCUGUGGUUCCAUGCAGCAUGACCUCGAGCAGCUCCCGAGCUUUCAAAAAACAAAUAUGGUUUCCAAGGCUGUGUCCUGUGGUCCUGUGCAGCUCUCCAACAGCACCUUGCAGAAGGGAGGCCUGGUUUCCAAGGCCGUGUCCUGUGGUUCCAUGCAGCAUGACCUCGAGCAGCUCCCGAGCUUUCAAAAAACAAAUAUGGUUUCCAAGGCUGUGUCCUGUGGUCCUGUGCAGCUCUCCAACAGCACCUUGCAGAUGGGAGGCCUGGUUUCCAAGGCCGUGUCCUGUGGUUCCAUGCAGCAUGACCUCGAGCAGCUCCCAAGCUUUCAAAAAACAAAUAUGGUUUCCAAGGCCGUGUCCUGUGGUCCUGUGCAGCUCUCCAACAGCACCUUGCAGAAUGGAGGCCUGGUUUCUAAGGCCGUGUCCUGUGAGUCCAUGCAGCAUGACCAUGAGCACCUCCUAAGCGGCUCCAUGGAAAAGAGAAACACAGUGGCUUCCAGGGGUACGUCUCCAGACACAGCUCCCUCCAUGGACGUUCUUUCUGAGUACCACAUUUUCCAGAUGGAUCCCCAGGGUGAAUCCCUGACUAAGUGCAGCUCAUACAUCCACAGUAUAGCCUCUGUAUGGAGCUCUGAGGAGAAGCCUCAGGAUAUGGCCACCACAGACUGUCAUCACAAGGACAGAAGCUUGUCCUUGCAGGAAACAUCUGAACCAAGCUUUGCUGCUGCCCAGACCCAGUGUGUAACCACAGCCUCUCCUCAGAACUCAUCAGGCAGAUGGAAGCGGGCAAAGAGAAGGAUGGUGAAGUGUUUAAGGAGAUUAUGCUGCUGUCUGCCAGACCAAAGGAGAAGCUGCACUUCCCAGAGGAGAGUGCUUCCACAGGAGGUGGGAGAAAGUGGAGUCACACAAAACCAGGCUCUUUUGCAGUAGAUUUUGGGAGCCCCUCCAGCCAGUGCAUGGUGUCCGUGUACUUUUGACCAGCUUCAGGCAGGAUCUCUGUGAGUGCUUUAGUCUCUGGUGACUGCAGGUAUCUGGAGACCAGCAGGUAGGUUACCAGGGUAACCCUCUUGGUUCAUUUUUAUAGAGGUGCGUUUUGGGAGAUAAGAGAGCAUGAUGGAGUAGGAAUUUGGUUCAACUUCACCCCAGCCAUGCCUGGGAGAGCAGAGUUCAGGGGAACUGCACUGGCCUAAGAUAAACCAGGACAACUGUCCUAAAGACCUAUGAGAGGGAACUUUGCAAGAACAUCUGGGAGAGCCAUGUGGGAGAACAUUUUGAAUCACCAAUACCCCAGUUACUUUGUAAACCCAGUGCCUCAUUCCUGAGUGUAUGGUGUACGGGGCCUUUGGAAAGGUGACAGGAAAGGAGAGUAAUUAGCCAGGUCAUCUAAGACCAAGGGCAGCAUAGCCCCAGGCUGUAUGGAGCUAGUUAGCUUGCAUAGCAAAUGCCUCAUUCUGGAAGAAGAGGCCUGCAUGCGAUUGAUUUGGCCUCUGCAUGGACACCGACAGGCUCUUCAACAAGACAUUGAAUGUCUCAUUGGGGUGCAGGAGCAGACACAGGAAGGCUCUCCUCAUCCCCAACUGUGGAUUCUCUCCAUUCCCUCUGUGCUCUCAAACUGUGAAACCGAGCCAUGAAGCUCAGUCUGAGGUGAGAUGGAGGCCAUGACCAGCUUCCAGCUCUGGAGAACUGCUAAGGGCAGGCAUGUGAAGCAAGGUCCUGGGGUGGGCUGGUCCAGUUCCAAAGAGGUUGCUGAUCUCAGGACAGAACCAUAGUUCUGAGGACAUCUGAAUUCUCUUGGGAUCUGCAGGAAUCCAGUUCAGUUGAGGUGUUCCAGAAAGCGUCUCUCCUUCAGGUUCUUCCUGCCUCUGCCCAGGACGCCAUAGAAGAUUCGCCUGACAAGCUGGCCAGGGAUAUGACUGGUGUGUAGUACAUCGGAGAUCUUGGACCAGAUGCAGAGACCCUGAAGCUGAGACUGGAGGUUGUGAUGAAGGCAAGUCUCAUGGCCAGCCCAGUGAGGAGGGCAUUCUUCAAAGUGACUACAAAGUCUUCCUGUCCUUGAGCUGUGGCGCACUGGAGGAGGUGAAACCUGCAUGCCACGUUCUCACACGUAAACAACUGGUCCUGGAGAAAAGGAACAAACUUGUAUGACAUCACCUCUGAGGUAGAACUCAUUAAAUCAUUGGAAGAUCAUCAAACUCUUAUACACGGUUGAUACACCAUUAACCACUUACAUGAUAAUUGGGUGUGUGGUGAGGAGAAGAACUGGAGAGGUGCCCAAUGGAGGAUGGAGCAUUAUGGCUUUUCCAGCAGGCUACGUCAGUUGUUCACUUCCUCCUCCGGAGGCACAGGCUACCAGAAUAUCCAAUUGGAAAACAUCUAGUGGAUGCAGCAGGAAAUUCAAAGCUUUGUGACUUUGGUAUGGCAACUAAACUCACAAAGGGACAGGUGAUGGGGAAGCUCUGUGGCUCCCUGAUCUACCUGACCCCAGAUACCUUGACAGGUAGACUGUGUAAUGGCCUUACAGUUGACACAGAAUUUGGAUAUCCUUCUCAGUGUCAUGUUCACAGAUCUCUUUCCAUACUUAGAAACAAUUCUUUCAGGCAUGCACCCGCUCAUCACCACCACAAUGUGUCAUCUUUCUUGUUACUUGUCCAAAACCCACCAGGUUAUUAUUGCAAGCUUGGUCCUGGUCCUCCCUUCCCCGUGAUAGUGGGUCAUCUAGUGGAACACACAUGGCUGUACCACAUCCAAGAACAUGCACCACUUGUCUCUAAAGAAAUAAUAUUGAUGACCAUGAAGAACAUGUGUAUGAUUAGACACGGGUAAACUAUGUAAAACACAGGUUACAAAAUGAAAGUCACAGCUAAAUUCAAUGUUUUGAAACAUCAGUUGGGCUGUGGGGAUAGCUGUCUCCCAACUGUAAGGCCCCAUUUAAAUCCCAGUGCUGCAGGGUUUCUUGCCUAACACCCAGUGCUGCCCAGAGAAGAUGCGCUGUCUAGGUACCACAGACACGGAAAGCAAAACUGUGAAUGUUUGGAGGACAUUGAAGUUGGUGUGACUCUGGGUGACACUCCACUUGAUGAGGAGGCCCCAACAGAGUCAGCCUAGGACGCAACAACCACAGGGCUAAAUGAAGAGAACAAGAGCUUGUGCCCUGUGGAGCCCCCAACAGAGUCAGCCUAGGACGCAACAACCACAGGGCUAAAUGAAGAGAACAAGAGCUUGUGCCCUGUGGAGCCCCCAACAGGGUGAGUCUCACCCAGUGUCCCAGCCCCAGGUUGAACCUAUAGACUCUGGCUCCAAGAUGGCUCUGGCUGGAAGGGACCAAGGAGGUGAAUUACUUGAGUAUUUAGAACACUUUGCUGCUGCCUGCCCACCCAAAGGUGAGUCAUGAAUACUUGUGGUAAGGAGCUGCAAAGAAAGGAGACAGGAAUGGGGUCCUGUAGUUUAGGGCAUCAAAAUGCAUGUCUACAUUUUAUUUUAAUGCUUUUUGGAUGACCCUUGUAAGUGGCAAAUUACAAAUUUAUGGUGUACAAGACUUAAGGUGUCAAUGUCUUUAGAAGGAACAAGCUUACAAUCUCCCUCUCAUGUAGAUUCUUGGGUUGUUGAGCCAGAUGUAGUUAGCAGAGUGUAGCAACCAGAGGAUGGGAAGGGAGAGAGGAGAGUUUUGCAAAGGGGGCAAAGGUUCAGUAGUUGGGGGAUCAAGUGGAGGGCUAAGGUACAGCAGGGUACUUAGUGCCAAGUCCUGCCUAUGUUAACAUGACUAACGGAAGACUUUCCAUGGAUCUUUUUUCAAGUGGUGAAAUAGACAAGGCCUGGUGCAGAUGGACAGCCACUGAAGAGAGCCAGGCCAGAAUGUGAAUGUCAGGGUGCUGUUUGCCCACACACCCAGGGCACAGGCUCCACAGCCAUCCUUCAUCAGGUCUUUGCUGCCAACUCCCUGCUUGCUCAGCCCAGCACUGCAGGCUGCACCAAUAGGUGGUCUCACGUGACAUCUACCUGAUGAAGGCCUACCUCUCCAGCUCCUGUGGAACAGAUACCCCUGGAAGCCAGACUGUCUGGCAUACAGCCUCCUUCCUUCCAGCCUCUGUGGUGAUGUCCCUUCCUAUCCCACAGAAACAAUCCCUCAACACUUACUUGACUGCACUUGAGAUCGCUUUGGUUCCUGCAACAGGGUGGGGAAAUCACACAGCUCUGAAGACAUUUUCUAUGAUGGCUCAUUGGUGCUCAUCUUGUGGCCAUCCAAAGAGAAAAGCAGGGACGAAGCCCAGCCCGUGGCAGCAAGUUUCACGAUGGAACCCACAUUGUUAGGUCACACACAGAGGUGUGCAUGUGGCACUAACUAACCUGAACAUUGUCCACACAUGGCUUUGGUUUUCUACUGAAGAGCAGAGUACGGUGAGGAAGGGGUCCUUGAACCUAGCACCUUUACCAGUUGCUUGUCUAUAUCCUGCACACUCGGCAGCUGGGAGCCAAUGUGUUUCCUAGCUGCCUCCAGGUUUCAGGAUGUUCAGAUCCACAGUUCCACUGCAGCCCACAGAAUUCCUGCUUAUGAUGGAGGAAACGCCAGGGGCCUUAUCAGAGAAAUGGAGGAGCUUCUUCUUGAGGGAUGAACAAGUUAGGUCAGGGAACUGGGUCAUUCCUGAUCCAGGUCUUUGGCCCUAGCCGUGAUGUCCUCUGUGGCCCCAGGCUGGGCUUAGGAGUUCAGUGUCAGCUCCAGAGACCCACCAGCCUUCCUCCCGGGUCUCAGUUCUGCUGGCUGUAUUUGAUGGGUUCAGCAUUGAAACUUUCUUCGCUCUGUAUCACCUGGACAAGCAUAAAGGAGGUGGGAAGUGGGAGGACAGAGGCUCUAGUGUGACAUGUUGGUAGGGAGCCUUUUCUGACCACCUGAUCCCAAAGCCUGCUGCCAGGAAAAAGAGCUGGUCCAGCCAGGCUGCUUGGUGUCUCUUCCCAGGGGAGGUUACAAAGGAAGGAGACGGGCUUUGUGCUUGUCUCUCUUUAGUCUCUGACCACCAGUGGGAAUGAACAUGCUCUUCUCUGGCUGCAGCCUUCAUCCCAGGGAAUGUGAGACUUUGUGUCUGGUUAUCCAUUUGUCUGGAAUGGUCUUCCUUUCUUACAGCUGCUUGGCCAGACCUUGCUACCUGUAGCUAAAAUUGCCUCUACCUAGCAGCAGCAGCAGCAGCAGCAGCAGCAGCAGCAGCAGCAGCAGCAGCAGCAGCAGCAGCAGCACACUCCCCACC